rnacentral:rRNA from 1 species
UACGGGGGGGGCAAGCGUUGUUCGGAAUUACUGGGCGUAAAGGGCGCGUAGGCGGCCAGACAAAGUCGAGCGUUAAAUUCCAGGGCUUAACCCUGGGCUGUUGCUCGAUACUAGUCGGCUAGAGUGUGGAAGAGGGUGCUGGAAUUCCCGGUGUAGCGGUGAAAUGCGUAGAUAUCGGGGGGAACACCAGUGGCGAAGGCGGGCACCUGGGCUAACACUGACGCUGAUGCGCGAAAGCUAGGGGAGCAAACAGG